AGUACCUAAGGAGGAGCCUCAAGAGCAGAUCAUUGAACCACAACAGCAACAGGAAACUAUCGCCAAUAAUGAUGUCGUUAAAGAGGAGGAGCUAGAGCAAGAAGCUGACGAAAUCGCUCAUAAUCUGGAGGAGAAUAAAGUAAAAGGUGAACAAGAAGAAGAAGAAGAAGGAGAAGAAGAGGAUGAAGAAGAUCCUCAGGACGAUGACGAAGAAGAAGAAAGCGAAGAGGAAGCCACCGUAAACGACGUCAAGGUCGAAACCAACGGCGAUGGAGGAGAAGAAACCGAGGAUUUGGAGGACGAACCCGUAGAGAACCU
rnacentral:lncRNA from 1 species